rnacentral:rRNA from 1 species
AUUGAACGCUGGCGGCAGGCCUAACACAUGCAAGUCGAGCGAGCGACGGGCGGGUGAGUACUGUCUGGGCAACUGCCUGAUGGAGGGGGAUAACUAAUGGAAACGGUAGCUCAUACCGCAUAACAUCAGAUGUUCGCAGAUUGGAUUAGCUAGUGGGUGGGGUAACGGCUCACCUAGGAGACGAUCCCUAGCUGGUCUGAGAGGAUGAUCAGUACAACUGGAACUGAGACACGGUCCAGACUCCGACGGGAGGCAGCAGUGGGGAAUAUUGCACAAUGGGCGCAAGCCUGAUGCAGCCAUGCCGCGGGUGUGAAGAAGGCCUUCGGGUUGUAAAGCACUUUAAGUGGGGAGGCGUUACCAGCAGAAGAAGCACCGGCUAACUCCGUGCCAGCAGCCGCGGUAAUAC